rnacentral:rRNA from 1 species
UACGUAGGUGGCGAGCGUUGUCCGGAUUUACUGGGCGUAAAGCGCGCGCAGGCGGACUGAUCAGUCUGGGGUGAAAUCUCACGGCUCAACUGUGAGCGGUCCCUGGAUACUGUCAGUCUUGAGAUGUCUAGAGGAGAGCGGAAUUCCCGGUGUAGUGGUGGAAUGCGUAGAUAUCGGGAAGAACACCAGUGGCGAAAGCGGCUCUCUGGGGACCAUCUGACGCUGAGGAGCGAAAGCCAGGGGAGCAAACGGG